rnacentral:rRNA from 1 species
UACGAGGGGAGCAAGCGUUGUUCGGAUUUACUGGGCGUAAAGGGCGCGUAGGCGGCGUGACAAGUCACUUGUGAAAUCUCCGGGCUUAACUCGGAACGGUCAAGUGAUACUGUCGUGCUAGAGUACAGAAGGGGCAACUGGAAUUCUCGGUGUAGCGGUGAAAUGCGUAGAUAUCGAGAGGAACACCUGCGGCGAAGGCGGGUUGCUGGGCUGAUACUGACGCUGAGGCACGAAAGCCAGGGGAGCGAACAGG